UACGUAGGGUGCGAGCGUUAACCGGAAUUACUGGGCGUAAAGCGUGCGCAGGCGGUUUUGUAAGUCUGUCGUGAAAGCCCCGGGCUCAACCUGGGAAUGGCGAUGGAGACUGCAAGGCUUGAAUCUGGCAGAGGGGGUAGAAUUCCACGUGUAGCAGUGAAAUGCGUAGAGAUGUGGAGGAACACCGAUGGCGAAGGCAGCCCCUGGGUCAAGAUUGACGCUCAUGCACGAAAGCGUGGGGAGCAAACAGG
rnacentral:rRNA from 1 species